UACGAAGGGGGCUAGCGUUGCUCGGAAUGACUGGGCGUAAAGGGCGCGUAGGCGGAUGGCACAGUCAGAUGUGAAAUUCCCGGGCUUAACCUGGGGGCUGCAUUUGAUACGUGUUGUCUUGAGUUCGGAAGAGGGUCGUGGAAUUCCCAGUGUAGAGGUGAAAUUCGUAGAUAUUGGGAAGAACACCGGUGGCGAAGGCGGCGACCUGGUCCGACACUGACGCUGAGGCGCGAAAGCGUGGGGAGCGAACCGG
rnacentral:rRNA from 1 species